GUGCAGACAAAACAGUCACACAGACUUGACCGGGGCCGUGGCUUCGGGGGGAGUCGGGGGAUCUACCGCAUGUAAUAGUGGAAAACAGGAAGGACGGGCGACUCAAAGUCAUCUUCACCGCCUUAAACCAAUGGGAAAGGGUGUGAGAUGUGACUGGUCUACCGGGACAGCGGACAGGCUCAGGCACCAACAUCAUACUCCAGCGAUGGUAAUGAUCGGAGACAUUAGUCUUGUCAAGAGGAUUUGUGCCAAUAGAUCCUAGUCAACUAUUUUAUACAUAGUCCUGUGAAUAAGAGGGGGUGGGGGGGUUGCAUAGGACACUUCUAGAAGAACAGCGACAGAUGCAAUUUUCUUUUCUCGGUUCUUUUCCUUGUCUCUUUUAUAAGCUUACACACUAGACCGUGCAAUGGUGACCAAAAAAAUCACCAUAACAACCGACUUCUCUGAACAUUCUGAAUGUGGGGUAAUAGAGUGUUGUGCUACACAGGGACACAAAGAAGAGCAAAACUGUACAUUUCUAAGUGUAAGAACGAACAGACAAAUCUUUGUAAAUAUUUACGUUUCUUUUCUUUUUUUUCUUUUCAUUUUCUUUUUUUUUUUUGGAGUGAAUGAAUGAAAUGACUUCCUUUGUGACUACAACCGAGACAACAGGUGCAUGUUGAUACGGGCCACCAGCUGGCAUUGUACCGUACGCCAUUUCAAUGUGUCACUGACGGCCUUAGGAAAGACGCUCUCUUGUUCCGCCGGGCCUGUGUUUCUUCGACGCGUGAUGUGGCAUAGUUGUGCGGAGCCGAGUCGACACCAGACCUUCAGAACAGCCGUGAACAGUUGUCCGUGUAGCAUCUUGACUAGGGAAGCGAGCACCGUAGCAAGGAUAAGGACCCGACGUCGGUCUUUGCUGUCGGUCGUAGGGUCUCCCACAUUGCAGUGGGACAAGCAUAAGGUCAGGCCUCCAUCGGCUGCGUACCACGGCGGCCGAUCUGCAUGCUGAUGCAGGAUACCUCAAAGGUGUAAUCUGGACCUCCCAGUUUCCCCCGGUUUAAACUACGAAAGUAAUAAGCUUCUGUUCGAAAAAAGAUUUUUGUUGUUGUUGUUGCAGGAGACAGAUUAAGCCUUUAAAAACCUCCUUGUGGCCUCUGGUGUCUGGAUCCACCCUCUGCUGACUCCAGUACUGUAGCGUAGCACCAGAAUCACAGGGAGACUGGGAAACGAGGGCUUUCUGUAACCGAACACGCCUACAGUCUAGCCUGAUCUCACAUGCCACUAGGCCGCCUUGCCUACCACUAAGGUCCUUGUCAAGACUAGCGGUUGACAAGACGGCACAAACAGGUCUGGGAGCAGGCUACGGUAUCCUCAUCGGAAAUCCCAUACUGCGGGUGGGCCACAUGCCACCCUGAAUACACUGUGUUAUGUACAAUGUGCGUGUAUAUGUCUUGUUCAUUUAGGUUACAGUGCUAUCUCCACUAACUACAGUGACCUUAUCAGAAGCCGUUGGUACACCUGCGAUUUCCUUCCUGGUGGGAAUUGUGUGGUGGGAAUGCUCUGCGUUGACUUCUGCACCCCUAGUGGUCGGACAGCCGAACUGCAUAUCAAGACACGCACAGAUGUGGACCUGUGUUUCUUAACGGACGCCCCCUCUCCCUGCAUGUUUUAGAUCUCUCCAUGCCCUAACAUACCUGAUUAGGCUCAUGAAGGACUUGAUAAUGAGCUGAUCAUUUGAAUCAGGUGUGACAGAGCAGGGAGAGAUCUAAAACAUGCAGUGGGGGGGGGGGGGGGGGGGGGGGCACCCAGGAGCAGGCUUGAAAGGCACAGAUGUAGACCAUGAUGUGUGAGUGUAUUAUAGAGAAGGAUAGAGCAGCCAUCCCUAUAUACAUUUCUCAUUAUGAAGUCUACAGGACCGUAGAUAUUGCCGUUGUAGGCACCAGCCAUUAGACUGUGGUCAACUGGGUGAAACUUCGAACUUCAAGGCCCUUAAUGUACCGUUUUGACAUGACACUACCCUCCGGAAAGGAUCAGGGGAUUAGAAUGAAAUUGCCACCCAGUUGAGCACAUUUAAAUAGAGGAUGCCUUCAGUGAUGAUGUCCAUGCUGAAAAAGCAUUUUGGCCACUAAGGCCUCUAUCCUUCUCUUUGUUGGAGCUAGGAAACUGGGGCAUGUCUGAGCUGGUUAAACGCAACUACAAACAGUCAACGUGUUAAAAAUGUCUGCUUCCUGGUUCAGACUGAUGGUAACGCAGCUAAGAUGUGAGGGUAUGUAUUAGGAUAGCUAUGUUUGUGUAUAUUCAUAGAUGUGCACUCUGUUUUGUUGCAGUUUUAGUUAACACUUACGUAGACUCAGAGGGAGCACAUAUCUAUAAUAAUGUUCAUUUAAAAUGAUUUUGAAACAAUUGACCUGACCAGAAAAUCCAUAUUGGAUUUUAAUGUAUUAUUCCUUGCACUCAGACCAAGAAAGUAAUUUUUGGUACAAACCCAAUGUGUUCAUUUUCACCACAUCAGCUGUUAAAGUAUUAUGAAACAGGUGUUGUUUUAUAGAUUUGUCAGAGUGACGCUUUGUUAAAAACACCUGUGCCGAACUGAAAGAGGCAGAAUGUUUUAUGGAUACGAUUUUGCUGCCUUUCCUGUGACAAGGCGUCACGGUUAAUUUUCAAAACAGAGAAUGGUACACCUACGCUACGGUCCACCUUAGAGUCCAGUUAAACUGAAGCACAUGACCUAACCCUGGGAAACCUUCUGAGCUGGGUGUCAAUUAGGCCCAGAUAGCAACAUUUGCACCUGUUGUCUUGUUUCACUUUCUUUGUUGAAUUCAGAAACCCAAGACUUGAGAUGAAGAAAACAUGUUAAUAAUGAUUUUAAAAAUAUAUAUAUAUAUAUAUAAAAAAAAAUAAAGUUAAGUAAAACUAUAUAAAUAAGGUGAUGAUAUUUCUGUUUACUUUAGAAGUUAUGACACACUGUAUGCUGUGAUUCUGAUCUGGGGAACAUUAAAGACAUUCAUAGCCAG
ensembl:lncRNA